rnacentral:misc_RNA from 1 species
AUUAUUCACAAUGUCUUUCCCUUAAUGAGAAACUAAGAGUCGUCAAAUUUGGAUCAUCCCUGUGCUUGUCCCAGGUUGCUUCAAAUUGCAGGCCCUUGCAUUGAUGAAGCAAGACCAGUAUGUCAAGAACAUGAGUUCUAAUUUCUUCACGAGCUUUUUUCAAUGCUGCUUCCUUGUAUAGUACNNNNNNNNNNNAUCUUUCGAUAUAAGGUGUGUUCCUUAUCCAUGUUAACCUUACAAUUGUUUGGACCCUUUUAAGAACUAGCAGAACAGUUUCAUCGUCAUCAGCAUGCAUCCACUGAAAGAAAAGUGGGAAAAUCCGCCUAAAAUGAGCUAAUAACACAAGACCAACAGCAUGGAAAAGCGGUUCUAUGAAUGUAAGCCAUGCAAUGCAGCGAUCCUUAUUUCUUGGUUGGCGCUCCAAGUGACUUAACAUCUCAUUCAGCAUCCUUUCAAACCAUGGACUACGAGGAUUACUUCGCUGGAUGCAAGUUACAAGAAGUACUGACAUCUCAACUACAUGAUACCAUAUCUCAUCAGCCGAAGCAAUAUUCUGGCAGCAUGCAUCAAGAAUCACAUCCUCA